ACCACUUCUACGUUUAUAAUAUCUUUGUUAGCGGUAACGCUGGCUUUGCGUAAUGUGUCAAUUGAGUUGAAUUUAACAGUCAGUUUACAAAUAAGAAAUUAGGUCGCAUGGCUCCGCCUAUUAGAUUCACAACGCAAUAUGACCAAUUCGUUGAUUGACAUAUCCAAGCAAUUUCGGUACAAAGUUCAAACUGUAACCGGAUGUUUAUAAUACCAUUUCCUGUCAAAAUUCGUGCUAUGGCACGUUUUGAUACUAAAAAUAGCUCUGUGACUCAUCUUUAGGAAUGCACCUCCCCGAUUAAUUAAAAGGCUGCUACUGGAUGGAGACAGCCUUUUUCUCAAACGUCAUUCGCGUUCCUGAAUGUGUGUUUACGUUUUCUCAGUUUAAGUGUCAAAUCUCAAGAGUUAAUUUACGAGUUUUCAAGUGCUUAGGGUUUCCCUUACAUUACACAGCCAGGAUAACAAUUUCAAACGCCCGGAUGUUCCAAGAGCAAAAGGGGAAUGACGUCUCGAACGCUCUCCGCCUGGUUCACCUCGACCCAAAAGAAAAUUCCAAAGGAUGGUUCUGUUUGGUAAUUUACGACCUGGAACCUGACAGGUGACUCUAAGCCCAUGGGGUUGACAAUGAUCUCGAGCACCCUGUAGGCAUGCCAGCCCACAUGAUACCAUCCUGACUCCUGAAUAACCUGAAGGCAAAUCCAGGAUCUUCCGGCAGGAAAAUUAAAAAACGGCUCAGACCCACACCCUUCACAAGGACGAGGAGCAGAAAAGUUUGAAAUUCCGACGAAAUGGAGAGUCCUCAUUUCCCAUUGAUGACGAAUUAGCAGUAAUCCUUGUUGGGCACAGUUAACACACCUCUUAAUCCAACCCUCAGGACAUUUGGCUACCGAAACCUGACCAAAUGCAUGCCGAAUUUGAGAGUUUUCAGCUGAUAGUAAAUUUAUCACUUCCUCAGAGAGAUUGUAAAUUCCUUGAAUAUAAAAUAUUCUCUGAUAUUCAGGAACGUCAACUUUAGAAAUGAUGUCUGGGACUUGUCUGGGAGGCACAAGCAGUUCCAGUGCUGGUCUUAAAUCCCGGAUAUUUUGAAAAUUCUCUGAUAAAUAAUUCAGAGCACAAUACACCAACAGGGAGAUGAGAAUCAUUUUAAUCAUUUUGACAAAGUCAAAACAACAGUUCACUUUUAUACAAGGAAAAUGAAAGAAAACGAAAAGAAUGUUCGAGAUCCAGAAUCAAUGAAAGAUUCGAUAGGAAUGAAAAUUUGAACGAGCUUCACCGGUUCUGUAGUGGGGGAAAAGAACCCAACUUUUCGGAAUAUCAAUUGCAGAAUCACCAGGAACAGGGAUAUUUGGCAGUAUUUAAAAUUAAUUUUACAAUUUCGUGAUCAGCUUUUUACCACCAAUUCUAGGAGUGUACUGAUUUUAUUAUUGCAUUCAAAAUGGAGUCUUUUGUGAGCCAGCGAGUGCACAUUGUCAAGCCUCAGAAAGAGUUCCUGCAAAUGCAUCGUAUACGUCUUAUCAGGCGGAUUGGGAGAGAAGCUUGUUAGGAGAUUAACAUCUCUACCAUAAACUAGAGUGAAGGGAGCAAAGCCUGUUGCCUCGCGAACAUUCACAUUAUAAGAGAAAACUGCAAAUCGAGUUCAAUCAUCCCAGUCAACUUUUCCUUCGAAACUUCUAAGAUAUUCAAUCAAGUUUCAGACAUCAUCGAACCAUCGGCUGAGACAAAAUGAGCAAUAUGGCGUUUACCCAUAUAAAUUUUUUAAUUACUGUAUGAUACACACGCGUCUGAGAUGACCAAUGCAGGAGUCUUUUCAAGAACAGCAGCACUGUUCUCACUAUUGUGUUUGUCUUCCAUCUGCUGCAAAGCGCACGAUUCACUUUGCGUUUUUACGGCAGAAAAAUUUAGUCCAACGCCCGCACCCCACAACCCACACAGAGCCGAUAUAUAGAGCCGAUGAAGGUAUCUUAACUGGGUCCUUAAGGUCUUCAUCAGGUGAAGCCAUAAGACUGUCAUCACUGAGAGUUGAGUCUCCAGACUCCGGUUUGGAAUCCUUAUCUGUCAAAGGACCACCUAAACUACCGGGGUUAGCGCGUUUCCAUCCCCACGAAUCUGGACCAAAAUGCUGUGGUGCAUUGGCGCAGACUGAAAACGGGGUCCCUAAUAGGGUACACCCAACAGGAGUCACGAGUCGUGGUGCCUCGGUACUCUGAUCCUGGGUGGCGAUUUGAUAAUUCUGAGAGAUUGAGUCCCUAUCAUAAAGUGGAUUUCUUGACAAAGCAUCAACGUUGGAAUUCACUUUUCCAGGCUUAGACACAAUCACGUAGUCAUACUCAGCUUGAUUCGCCGUCUAGCCAACCUCGAGACAGGAUUCUUAAUGCUAUGCAGCCAAACUAAGGGCCUAUGGUCAGUAACGAGGACAAAUUUGUGACCAUAUAAGUAAGGCCGGAAAUAGUUGAUGCAGAAGACAAUAGCAAGAAGUUUCUUCUCUAUUGUAGAAUAAUUUAUCUCAGCUCCUUGAAAAGUCCUUGAGGCAAAAGCGAUUGGCAAGUCCUGACCAACCUUACCCUGACUGAGGACACCUUCAAGAGCGUAAUUUAAAGCGUCUGUUGUCAAUACAAAUGGUUUUGAAAAUUUAGGAUACUGUAACAAUGGUUCGAAACAGAUUUUAUCACGAAGGAUCUCAAAAGCUUCUUGUUCUACAGAUGUCCAACGACAAUCAGUGCUGUCCUUCAAAAUUUGAAUAAGUGGUUUAGCCACUUCAGCGAAAUCUGGAAUAAAACCUUCUAUAGUAACCUACAAGCCCCAAGAAGUGUUUAGCAUUUUUCUUUCUUCUUGGAAUAGAACAAUUCUUUACAGCUUCUAUUUUUCGAGGAUUUGGUUUCACCCCUUCUUGGGUGAUAAUAUGUCUAAAUAUACUAUUUCUUUUUUCAAGAAAUAACACUUUUUAGGGUUCAAAGAUAAUCCCGACGUUCUUAAACGGCCUAAAAGAGUUUUUAAUUUUUGGCUGUGAUCAAUAAGUGAUGAGGCAUACAUGACAAUGUCAUCCAUAUAAACAAAUAGAUCAAUUCCUUAUAAACCAGUCAGAACUUGGUCCAUUACCCUUUGAAAGGUAGCAGGGGCAUUUUUAAGUCCAAAUGGCAUUCUAUUGAACUCGAAAUCAGCGAAUGGAGUAGAAAAAGCAGUUUUUGCUUUGGAUUCGGGAUCCACGGGUAUUUGAUGAAAACCUGAUGCUACGAGGGUAGUUCAAUAAGUCCUUAGAAUGACCAACAGAUGGCGCGUGAAUCGCUCCAAAUCAUCUGUUUUCAGUCAGCACCACUCCCGACUAG